GAUGAACGCUGGCUACAGGCUUAACACAUGCAAGUCGAGGGGAAACGACGGGGAAGCUUGCUUCCCCGGGCGUCGACCGGCGCACGGGUGAGUAACGCGUAUCCAACCUGCCUCUGACUGAGGGAUAACCCGUCGAAAGUCGGCCUAAUACCUCAUGGCAUCGUCUGCGGGCAUCCAACGACGAUUAAAGAUUUCAUCGGUCAGAGAUGGGGAUGCGUCUGAUUAGCUUGUUGGCGGGGUAACGGCCCACCAAGGCGACGAUCAGUAGGGGUUCUGAGAGGAAGGCCCCCCACAUUGGAACUGAGACACGGUCCAAACUCCUACGGGAGGCAGCAGUGAGGAAUAUUAGUCAAUGGGCGAGAGCCUGAACCAGCCAAGUAGCGUGCAGGAUGACGGCCCUAUGGGUUGUAAACUGCUUUUAUGCGGGGAUAAAGUGAGGGACGUGUCCUUCAUUGCAGGUACCGCAUGAAUAAGGACCGGCUAAUUCCGUG
rnacentral:rRNA from 1 species